CCUACGGGAGGCAGCAGUGGGGGAUAUUGCACAAUGGGGGCAACCCUGAUGCAGCGACGCCGCGUGAGCGAUGGAGUACUUCGGUAUGUAAAGCUCUAUCAGCAGGGAAGAAAAUGACGGUACCUGACCAAGAAGCCCCGGCUAACUACGUGCCAGCAGCCGCGGUAAUACGUAGGGGGCAAGCGUUAUCCGGAUUUACUGGGUGUAAAGGGAGCGUAGACGGCAGCGCAAGUCUGGAGUGAAAUGCCGGGGCCCAACCCCGGAACUGCUUUGGAAACUGUGCAGCUGGAGUGCAGGAGAGGUAAGCGGAAUUCCUAGUGUAGCGGUGAAAUGCGUAGAUAUUAGGAGGAACACCAGUGGCGAAGGCGGCUUACUGGACUGUAACUGACGUUGAGGCUCGAAAGCGUGGGGAGCAAACAGGAUUAGAUACCCCAGUAGUG
rnacentral:rRNA from 1 species